rnacentral:rRNA from 1 species
CUACCGGGGUAUCUAAUCCUGUUUGCUCCCCACGCUUUCGCGCCUCAGCGUCAGUAUAUGGCCAGGAAGUCGCCUUCGCCUCUGGUGUUCCUUCGCAUCUCUACGGAUUUUACCCCUACAUGCGAAAUUCCACUUCCCCCUCCACAACUCUAGAUUAAUAGUUUCAGACGCAGUUUCGAGGUUGAGCCCCGAGAUUUCACAUCUGACUUAUCAAUCCGCCUGCGCGCGCUUUACGCCCAGUAAAUCCGAAUAACGCUUGCACCCUUCGUGUUACCGCGGCUGCUGGCAC